rnacentral:rRNA from 1 species
AACGCGAAGAACCUUACCUGGACUUGAAAUGCAACUGACCGCUCCAGAAAUGGAGUUUUCCCGCAAGGGACAGUUGCACAGGUGCUGCAUGGCUGUCGUCAGCUCGUGCCGUGAGGUGUUGGGUUAAGUCCCGCAACGAGCGCAACCCUUGUCGUUAGUUGCCAGCACGUAAUGGUGGGCACUCUAGCGAGACUGCCUCGGUUAACGGGGAGGAAGGUGAGGAUGAUGUCAAGUCCGCAUGGCCCUUAUGUCCAGGGCUACACACGUACUACAAUGGUCGGUACAGAAGGUAGCAAAACCGCGAGGUGGAGCAAAUCCCCAAAGCCGGCCCCAGUUCAGAUUGUAGUCUGCAACUCGACUACAUGAAGAUGGAAUUGCUAGUAAUGGCAGGUCAGCAUUACUGCCGUGAAUACGUUCCCGGGCCUUGUA